CUCCUUGGGCAAUCUAAAGAAGUGGGUAGAUGCCCCUGGUGUAGCUGAACCAGUGAGGGAUCUUAGUAUACUGAUUCGUCAUGGGAGAGCAAAUUCAGAAACCGUGGUGCCUCCGUCACCUCAGACCACCUCCUCUUCCGAUUUGUACCAAUUCCUCUGUUUGAGCUUUAAACCCUGGGUCCAGUGGGGCUGUGACAGAUGUCAGAAGUGGGGGUUACUGAAGUCAGAAAAACCAAUGACUAAGAGCCCACAGAUAUGACAGCUGGGGCAAAGAAUCUCAGCCGGGGAACCUGAGGGACAGUCUAGACUCCUGGACAGUGUCACAUACCACAGCGGUGGCAGGUGCCAGGCCAGCACACAGAUCUGCCUCCUGCUCCACAUAGUCGUCUACUUGGUGCCUUCCCCAUCCAGAGCCAGUCACAAAUGGACUCUAUUUUCCACCGGUGAAUAAGCUGAGGGCCAGCAGGAGAGGACAGAACACGGGGCUUCCUGUACUGGACCCCGGGGAAGGGAAAUGGCUCUGUGAGAAACAAGUGCAGAGUCUCGAUCCCUUAGCAAGAAUGUCCUGCGCCAGCCUGCCCAGGUUUGAGUCCUGGCUCUGCCACUUGAUGCUCUAACACUGGGCAAGCCACCCUCCAGGAAGCUCGGGUUCUUCAUCUGUGUUCUGGGGGUAAUGAUUUCCACUUCUCAGGGGCGUCCCAAGAACUGAUGAAGGUCUGUAAGGACUGAGGUUUCCCUCUCAAGAUACUGCGGUCCAGAUGUUUGAACAACCACCUCCUUUACAGCCUACAUGAGAACACGUGCAAGUAAUUUCUGCCAGCGCUAAUUGCAAGAGCAAAAGGAGUCCCCGGCGCCUAAUUGGAGGGUGUAAAUGGGGACGGCAUAUGAAAAGCCUGACGUGUUGCCAGUGGAAUCUAUGCUGGAGGUACCCGAGACCGAGGACUUCAAUCCCUCCAGGCCUGCCCCGCCUGCCGGAUAUUCCACUAAGCCAAGGAAAAAACAACCCUUGUGUCCUGAGGGCAGACUUUAUGGCGUAUGCAUGUCAUGUUCUCACCCAUCCAACUGUUACCGGUUCUUGUGAUCCUCCUACUCUAUUUGCUCUUUAUGAUUUUCUUUCUCUCUCCUGCGGUGGCUUCCAUGACAUUAGAAAUGAUUCUGAGAUUGUGACAACGGCAGGAAUUAAAGCUCUUAUGCAGGUCAUGGGGAAAACCCAGAAGGCUGGUGGCAGAAAACCUAGAUGGAGUGACACAUAGAUAGGAUACAAGACAAGAGCUGUCCAGAACUAGUCAGAAGACAGCUUGACGAGUUACAGAGAGAUGAAGAAGGACUUAAGCUGGGAGGAAGCUGAAGUCUGGAACCUUAAACCAUUGCUUGUAUUUCUGGGCUUUCUGAGAAACCGCAAGUAGAUGGCCUCUGGGAUGAUAACCUCAGAUGUUCUGAUAAUUAUUAACCUGUGAAAUAAGCUGAUAUACUUUGGCUUUCUUCCUGGGAGCUAUGUGCAAUCAAGGGGCACGGGGUACACUUUGCUGAUUUCCAAAAAGAACUUUCGAAACUACUGUGAAAAACCCAAUCACCUGCUGAAUGUUCUCAUCCCCUAUUUCCUUGUAUUAUUACAAUAAAAGACUAGAGUUGAGUCGGAUCGGGAGAAGGCAGAGAAGACACACAUCUCCAGAUCUGACAAGACUCGUCAGCUUGCACCAA